rnacentral:rRNA from 1 species
AGUUGCCAUCAUUCAGUUGGGCACUCUAAUGAGACUGCCGGUGACAAACCGGAGGAAGGUGGGGAUGACGUCAAGUCCUCAUGGCCCUUAUAGGUGGGGCUACACACGUCAUACAAUGGAUGGUACAAAGGGUCGCCAACCCGCGAGGGGGAGCCAAUACCCAUAAAGCCAUUCGUAGUCCGGAUCGCAGUCUGCAACUCGACUGCGUGAAGUCGGAAUCGCUAGUAAUCGUGGAUCAGAAUGUCACGGUGAAUACGUUCCCGGGUCUU